UCCAAGCGCUAUCCGGAUUUAUUGGGAUUAAAGGGUGCGUAGGCGGCCUAUUAAGUCAGGGGGGAAAGACGGUAGCUUAACUAUCGCAGUGCCUUUGAUACUGAUGGGCUUGAAUGUACUUGAGGUAGGCGGAAUGUGACAAGUAGCGGUGAAAUGCAUAGAUAUGUCACAGAACACCAAUUGCGAAGGCAGCUUACUAAAGUAUGAUUGACGCUGAGGCACGAAAGCGUGGGGAUCAAACAGG
rnacentral:rRNA from 1 species